GCCUGGAGUCUGACUCCUCCGGUAGAUGCUGGAAGAAAUAAAAGUGCUGGACGCUCCAUGGUGAAGGAUUGUCAGAGGAGGAGGACACGCCCCAUCCAAGUUCCUACAAUAUAGGAUCCGCUCAGGGGAGACCUUCUAUAUAAGAUCCUUCUCCUGAUUGACCCGACAAGGAUAAACAGGGACAAGAUGGUGGAGAGGAUAAUAAAUCUAACCCUAGAGAUCCUCUUCUGGCUUACUGGAGAGGACUACACAGUAGUGAAGAAGACCUCUAGUGAGCGCUGUCAGACCCCUGUGUCUGAAGG